rnacentral:lncRNA from 1 species
AGGUAUAGGCCUAGGUGUGGUGCUCUCAAGCCUCUGAUGGCCAACAGAAAAGCCAAGGUUUGAAGCCCAUGAAGCAUUCAUGGGGAUUCUAGGAUCAGUUUUGGAUCCUAGGGUGGAGGCGGGUUGCCUUCCAAUUCUUAAGGCUUAGGAGAUAUGGACUUUGAGGAGCUAAUUUACUUUCGGACUAGGUUUGGGCCCAUGAAAGGUAAGAGCAUGCAAGACAUGGGUGUACAUAGGCUUGGGUGAGUGCAAUUGCAUGUGGAUUAGCCAUGAGAGUUGUUUGGGUUUGGUCUUGGAUUAGACCAAUUUGUACUUAUACAUAUAUGAGGUUGUAAUCUGAUUUGAUUAAUGAAGGAUAGCUAUUUUUCUCCCAAAUUUCUCUCUCUUCAUCUCCUCUCUCUCUCCUUGCAUGCAGCCCAAGAGCAGCAUCAAACCCUAGCCGCCCCUCUUGUUCCACUUGCCAAGUUUGGCAAGGAGAAAACCAUAGUGCCCAGGGUUUCUUGGCACCCCUUGCUUCCUAGCACCUCCAUCCUUGUGCCACCCUCUCUUUUGUGGUGAUUUCUUACUAAUUCAAGGUCUCUACACUCUUAAGAAGGUGCUCUAACAAUUGGUAUCAGAGCCAAGGUCUGCAUGGAAAAGAGGAAGAAGCCAAAAGUAAGAAGAUCUUCAAGGCUAAAAUUUCUGCAGCACAUCUCUUCUAAGGUAUCUUCCCAAAUUCAUCUUGUGGAUUGUUGUGAUUUGGUUAGGAUCUAGCCAUGGGAAGCAACAUCAAGGUAGAUUUCGAGAAGUUUGAUGGGAAGAAAAGUUUCUUCAUGUGGAAAGUCAGGGUGGAAGAUAUAUUGGUCCAACAUGAGUUAGAUCUAGCAUUGGAGGAAAGGCCUGAUGAGAUGACGGAUAGGCAGUGGAUGUCCUUAAAGAAAAGGGUAUGUUCAGCGAUUAGAGAGUGUUAGGUGGACUCGGCACUGUAUUGUUAGGUUUAGAUAAUUUUCAGCACGC